rnacentral:rRNA from 1 species
AGCGAACGCUGGCGGCAGGCCUAACACAUGCAAGUCGAACGAACUCUUCGGAGUUAGUGGCGGACGGGUGAGUCACACGUGGGAACGUGCCCUUAGGUUCGGAAUAACUAAGGGAAACUUGUGCUAAUACCGAAUGUGCCCUUCGGGGGAAAGAUUUAUCGCCUUUAGAGGGGCCCGCGUCAGAUUAGCUUGUUGGAUCGGUAAAGGCUGACCAAGGCGACGAUCAGUAGCUGGUCUGAGAGGAUGAUCAGCCACAUUGGGACUGAGACACGGCCCAAACUCCUACGGGAGGCAGCAGUGGGGAAUCUUGCGCAAUGGGCGAAAGCCUGACGCAGCCAUGCCGCGUGAAUGAUGAAGUUCUUAGGAUUGUAAAAUUCUUUCACCGGGGACGAUAAUGACGGUACCCGGAGAAGAAGCCCCGGCUAACUUCGUG